rnacentral:rRNA from 1 species
UACACGCUGUGACUAGCAUAUCAAUAAGCGGAGGAAAAGAAACUAACAAGGAUUCCCCUAGUAACGGCGAGUGAAGCGGGAAGAGCUCAAAUUUGAAAUCUUAAAGGGUUUCCCUUUACGAAUUGUAGUUUAAAGAAGUGUUUUCUGUUGAGGUUUUGGUAAAAGUUCUUUGGAAUAGGACAUCAUAGAGGGUGAGAAUCCCGUAUUUGACCUUUACUUUCAACUUUGUGAUACACUUUCAAAGAGUCGGAUUGUUUGGGAAUGCAGUCCAAAAUGGGUGGUAAAUAUUCAUCUAAAGCUAAAUAUUGGCGAGAGACCGAUAGCGAACAAGUACCGUGAGGGAAAGAUGAAAAGAACUUUGAAAAGAGAGUUAAACAGUACGUGAAAUUGUCAAAAAGGAAGCGUUUGACACCAGUGUUGUUUUUCUGAAAAUCAAUUAAAGAACUGUUUAUGCUAAGCUGUUUAGACUUUAUCAGCUAUCUGUUUAGUUUUGAGCUUUUCUUUAAUGCACUUUUCAGUUAACAAGUCAACAUCAAUUUCUUUUGCUGUAAAAAAGCUUGAGGAAGGUGGCUUGAGAUUCGUCUUAAGUGUUUAUAGCCUCUUGCCUAUGCAGUCGGAGAGAUUGAGGUCUGCAGCGUAGAUCCUUCGGGGCUAAAUGCAUUUGUGCUAAGUUAUAGCAUUUCAUAGACAACUUGUUGACUAUGAUUUGUCUUGUAGCUUACUCGCUUAUGUUAUUUUACCUACGCUUAGGAUGUUGACUGAUAUGUAGUCGUA